GAAGGAUCACGGCCCAUCAUUUGCUUUCCUUUGGACGCUGUCUCACCUAAGCUAACCCUUCUCACACAGGACAGCAAAACCUGCAGCAAAACCUGCCUCAUGUACACUCAACCCUUGUGUCACGCAGCAGUUGACACACAGGAUGGGGAGAAGCUCUUUCCGUUUGGACUGGAGGAGCACGCAGAGGGAUGCUCUGACAACUGCCUCAACGGUCACACCUGGCAGGUGGAUGACCACGCCACCCGUUGCCAUGGAUUCUUGGAACACAACACAUGCAGUAAAGCUUGAGGCCAAGCCUGCUGCCCGUUGCCUCUUGUGCUGCUAGGCCUGAAGGAUGCUCCACAUUAAGAGCAAGGCAGGAAGGUCCUGCCUCACUGGGAGCCCCCUGCAAAACGCCUGAGGCUGGAGGAAACUGGGAGGCUCAGCAGGAAGAGAAAAUUAAGCCGAGAAGAUGGGCAACCUUCUCAUGCAACCUCCCAUGAAACAUCUCAGGCUGGAUGAGGCUGUGAGGCUGAGGAGGAAGAGAAAACCAAGCCGAGAAGAUGGCAACUUCUCAUGCAACCUCCUGCAAAAUGCCUGAGGCUGGAUGAAGCUGUGAGGCUCAGCAGGAAGAGAAAAUCAAGCCAAGAAGAUGGCAACCUUCUCAUGCAACCUCCCAUGAAACAUCUCAGGCUGGAUGAAGCUGUGAGUCUGCAGGA
rnacentral:lncRNA from 7 species